ensembl:lncRNA
AGACUAACCACAUGGUGGUUGGUCCUCGCUCUUCCUCCAAGGUCUUUGGGAAGGCUUGCUAAGUCAAGUGCUGAGAAUAUGUGACUGUUGAGUGCCCAGUUCAAUGGACAUUUAUAUAACCCACUUCAAGGCUCAGGUACACGGCAGAAGAGGCAGAAAGAAUGUAAGAACCAGAGGAAGCCAAGACAUAAAACACUGACCUAUUGUUGGACCCUUAAACUCCACAGUAGCUAUGAUAUCCUCUACUCAAGAUGUGAACAAGAUAGGGUCUGUCAACUUCCUGUUAGGAAGGGUCUUAUGGGCUUCAUUCUAACAAUACUUAGAUGGUUAAUGCCUGAUAGAGGAAAUGAAUAGUCACUGGAAGCGUGCCCACAUGCAAACCCAAGUAAACUCAUUGCAUGGGAGAGGAAAAACCCUUGACAUGGCGCAGACAAUAGAAUACAUCAAAAUAGAAGUGGGGAUCAGUAGGAGAAUUAACAAAAACAAAACAAAACAAAAAAAAAAAAAGGAAAAAAUAAUAAAAAAUCCAGGUACAGUGGAUGAUACUAGCACUAGGGCCACAGAGGGACGAAGGCCACAUGCCAGGCCUAGCUACAUAAAGAGAUCCUGUCUCAAAACUGAACAAAAAACCCAGACAUUAAAAGGCUAAUGAAGGGUUAAGAAAAUGUGUAUAACUUAUAAAGCUGAGAAAAUAAGCCAAAUAAAAAUAUCUUAAGAUGUGUAUGAUGGCCAAUGUUCUUCACCCCAGCUUUAUGAGCAGAAGCAGGUAGAUUUCUGUCAAUUUGAGGCUAGCCUGGUUGACAGUAGUGAGUUCCAAGCCAGCCAAGAAUAUUAAGUAGUGAAACCUUAUCUCAAAACAAAAGUCAACGACAAAAGUAAAAAUCACCUUUAAUUUAUGUUCAUACCUCAGACUCAAAGCCAUCUAAAAAUCUGCGGAGGGCGAGGGCUCCAUAGGAUGCCUGUGUGUGGCUGGUUCCAGCAGCUCUGAUAAUACAGGCUCUCAACUUUUCUGAUCCCACCUUUUGCUAGGCAUCCGUUCCCAACAAGUCUUCUCUCUGAAACAGCCUUGCUCAAUCACUCUCAGUCAGUCUUCCACUGAACUUGAAUGGCUUUUAAGAUCAUUAUUAUUCUUAAAAGCCUUCACCAACAUAUACCUACUUUUGCGUUUUUUCUUUAACUUGUUACGUGGCACUGAAAACACAAUUGAGGACCUGGUGUAUACACUCACAUGCAUUAAGAACCAGCUACAACAAGCUCUCUGUUCUGCGGUCUAUGUUCCUUUUAUGAUGGUCCUUGCCUUAAAUCUCAGCACUGGACAGGCAGGGGCAGGAGGAUCUCUGGGUUAAUCCACAGAGGGAUUCCAAGACAGUCAGGAUUACAUGUCUGUCUCAAAACACAAAACCAAAAACAAACAAACAAACAAACAAACAAAAACAAAACCCCAAUUAUCCAAAUCCAUUAAGGCAUUUAGAUUAACUUUCCAUGCUCAAUCGUGUUAUGAAUCUUACUCACACUCAGCUCCCUAGGCAUACAUCUUUGCAGGACUGUCAUUAAAUAAUCCACCUACUUUAAUCCAGAUCCUGAAAUAUGCUGUCCUUCUAGUUUGAGUUACUUGUGAAUGAAAACCAUCAUUCAUGUGGUCCUAAAACCAACAACAAAAUCUUACAGGGAAAAGAAAAAAUCAUAUCGACAGCCACACAUACACCACAGAGUAUGCUCUAAAUAGUAACAACAAAACUGGUUCUGGUUUUUGAACCUAGAGCUUUGUAUAUGUCAGGUAAAGCACUCUUACAAUCAAGACCUAUAUCCCUGGUGCCCAAAAUAAAAGUUUGAUUACAAUUACAUAAUCCCUUCAAAACAAACAAACAAACAAACAAACAAACAAACAAACAAACAAACCUCAAAUCAUCUGGGAAGCAGCUACAUUCGACCCAGCAAUCAAUUCUAGUUCUUAACAAAUCCUGAAUCUCAUCUGCUUAAGGAUGACAUAAAAUUACAUACGAGCACCAAAGUUUUCAGUACAUGUAACAAAUCGUAGGUCUUCUAGAACUGAAGCACCUUGGUUUUUUUCCCACAACAAAAGUCAAUGUUAUUAGUCAAUGUCUGAAAGACAAAGACUUUUUGAGCUAUGUUUUAACUUAAAGAUGCAGAACAUACACUUAUUUGUAAAAAAUUACUUAUCUUGCCCCUGAACACUCAUCAAAACAGACUUCUUACACUAGGCUUUUAAGAAUAAAAGGAUCAAACACACAAGCACAGGAGUGCGCACACAUACACAUUCAGUACUCUGUGAUUAAAAAAAAAAAAUUGUAAAAAGUUAUUAAAAAAUUGAGCCCAGAAAAGUGAAACCCUAUCUCAAAAAAAGUCCAAACAAUCCAGAAAACAUGAUCACAUAAAUGUGCUAAAA